rnacentral:misc_RNA from 1 species
UAACAUCCAACGUUCACAUAUGCAACAAAUGCUUGCCAUCCACAUCCAACAGCAACGCCUGCGAAUUGAUUAAAUAUUCUAAUUUCAAAGACAUGACAAACCAAUGAUCAGAAGAGAUGUCUAACUACUAGUCGAUAAUGAAGUGAAAGACGAGAAUGUUUGGUUGUUUACUGUAAUAGUGUUAGCUAGAAAUAAUGGCUUAGAUUACCCUAGAAACAUAGUGUUAAAAUUAUGAAUAAAAAUCUCAGUGAGAUUCGGAGAGACUUUUUUUUAAUUUGAGUGGAAGAAAUAUUCCUAAAGAGGAUAAAGAAAUAUUUCAUAUAAUGAAUAUAACUCUUAUUUUAGUGUUAUUUCUAGAUUGAGUGGGACUCAUAAUCAUAUUAGAAUUGAGAAAAUUAAUACUAUAAACAGGAAAAUGGUGGAAAGGUUAUUUAGUUUCCCCCAUUUGGAGCGCUUUGCCCAUUGAAGGGAGUGGUUUUGUCCAUUGAGACUUCGAUCUAAGGUGGAGAAAAGGCACAAAAUUCAAAAAGAAGGAAUUCUUAUCUACUAAUGAAAGGCUUUUGCCCAUAUAGUUAAAGACACUCUUUGUGGUUUAGCAGUUAAAAUAGUAAAUAUAUUAAGUUAUGUUUAGAGGAGACAGAGAGAGACUAACUAAUAUAUUUACUAUGAGCAGUUUGAUGUUGUAUGGGUUCUAAUUGGGUUGAUAGAUAGUAUAGCUAUGAGCUUGUAACGAUGAUUUAUUUAUUGAUGAUAGUAGAAGAUGGCAUACCGUGGAUAUAGCCCUAUAUUUAGCGAGUGAACCAUGUAAAUAUUGGUGUUUUGUAUGUUUGCUUUAUUUCUUUAUAGUUUACACGCUUACGCAGUGCACAACAAAUUGGUAUCAGAGCAUGGGGAUGAUCUUGGUGAGUUUGGUUGAAGGUGGAGCUGUUGCGACAUGUAGAAAAUCGCACAUGCAAUAAUGGUGGUGAUAGAGAGUUAAAUUGAGAUGGAGCUCUUGAUACAAAAUCAAGAUAGUUGAUGACGUAAAGAUUUUUUGAAGAAUAAAGCAAGUUACACCCAAGAUAAAGAUUGAAGAGUUGAUGAUUUGAAGGGUUUAAACUCAAACAUGGAGAUUUGAUAAUUUGAUGACACCCAAUAAUUUGAGGUAUGCGAUGGUUGAUGGAUUUUGAGUCAAGGUGGAGAUUGUUGAAAUUAUGACUCAAAAUUCUAAUAGGAUUUUGAGAGAAAUCUUGUAACACCCCUAAUUUUUAAAUUUAUUAUUUUUGGGUAAAUAUUGAUAUUUUAUUUUAUUUGAAUUUUAGGAAAUUAUUUGAAAUU